rnacentral:lncRNA from 1 species
ACAAUAGUGAACACUUUCCCUAUGAUCCAAUAGGAAAGACAGAAAUCAUCUGACAUGAACAUGGAAAACCGCACCCUAUGGCCAAGCAAGGAACUGUGGUCUCUGGGUGCCCAGUGCUCUCUUCAGAGAAACAGGGAAACUGCUGCGGAUGCAGGGUCAAGAUCCCCUCAGAUGCUCCCUUUCAUGUGCUGAAGUGUUAGUUGUGGCCCCAUUAACACUCUGUGAUGGGCGCCUUGGAGGAGCGGAGAGAGAAGCCCAGCUGAGUGGCACAGUACUUAAGAAUCUGCUGCUCAACCACCUGUUCAUGUUUAUUAAUGUGAGAACCAUGUUCCUGUCAUCAGCAGAUUUCUUUUUUUGGCUGUUGUAUUACGCCAAACACAUAGGAUGACCAGCUUCAGAAAGAGUGUAGCACUGGGCAUAAAGAUCCCAGGACAGUGUCUGGACAGCUUCUUCUGCCAAAGCCAUGCAUUCCUCAUGAUCAUAAGUUCGCUAAAUCGAGGUAACUUCUGGCUUUCAUCCUUCAGCUAUGGAGUUUUCAAAUUGCUC